GGCAUCUCUGCUGUGGUGACUGAAGCACUCUUGAGUUAGAAGUGGGAUCAAAAAGAAAGAGGAGAUUCAAUUCAAAUAAGGUUUAAAGACUGAGGCACAGAGAAAUGGAAGGAAAAGUCAAUUUUUGAAACAGCGGAGAAAGAAGGCUAUGACCCAAAAACCCACACUCUGAAGGAAAUCAGUAUCUGGCUGUGCUCUGAAGAAAUGCCUGUGCAAGAAGGUUACUCCAUCACGUCGCUGCAGCAGGGUUGUGACCUGCCCUUGUGGCUGUGGAUCUUGGUGCUGUAGCCCAUGUUUUUGUCACAUGGAGACUUGAGAACUGCAAUGCAGUAACGGGAACUAAAUCCCCUUGGAAAUGAGGAGCCAGUGCUGAAGGCAGCAUCCUGCUGAGCACCACUGUUGAGCCAAGCUAUGCUGUGACUGAGACGCCCCUUCCACACCAGUCUGGGAGAGGAGCUUCUUACUCCCGUGAAGCCACUGUGCUGUGCCCUUGCCAUGCUCUGUUAACUCUUGCAGAGGAGCUCUGCAGCCCAGCUAGAGAAGCCAAAAUUCCAGCAUCACCUUACCAAGAGGGACGUUUUGGUGAAAUGAAAAGGU